UACCCAAGCUGGGGUCGCCGCGAGCGACUAGAAGUUUCCCGUCCGCCAGAAUCCCCUGCGUGCGGCCUCCCCCGGGCUCGGCGCGGGCGGCCUGCAGAUUCGGCAGCGCCGCCCUGGCUUGGGCUCGGUCUAGCCACGGCGGCGCAUCCUUGGAACAGCCUCGUCGCAGGCGAUGUCAAGCCUCUGCGGACCUUGGUAGCGGCAAACCCAUCGCCGACCAACCCAGCCGCCUAGUAGCCUACUGCCUACAGCCAAAGCAAGCAUUGAUCCCUCCUUUACCUUGCCAUGGGCUAGAACCUCAGCGGAUAACUACCAUCAAUCUGGGGGCAUUCCAAUAAAUGAAUCUUUUGAAACCUGCUUAAGGGCUGUUCAGAUCCUGCCUGCUGGUCUUGCAACUGAUGCAGUGCGAGAGUGUGAAGAGCUGAGAACUCAAGGUAUUGUUUUUAUUUGUUGGAAGA